UUUUGGAUAAAGGGGGAAACCCUGAUCCAGCCAUCCCGCGUGUGCGAUGAAGGCCUUCGGGUUGUAAAGAACUUUUGUCAGGGAAGAAAAGGUUCUGGCUAAUACUCGCAAAUGAUGACGGUACUGGAAGAAUAAGCAACGGCUAUCGACGUGCCAGCAGACGCGGUAAUACGUAGGGGGAAAGUGUUAAUCAGAAUUACGGGGCGUAAAGCGUGCGCAGGAGAUUCGGAAAGAAAGAUGUGAAAUCCCAGGGCUCAACCUUAGAACUGCAUUCUUAACUACCGAACUAGAGUAUGUCAGAGGGGGGUAGAAUUCCGCGUGUAGCAGUGAAAUGCGUAGAUAUGCGGAGGAAUACCGAUGGCGAAGGCAGCCCCCUGGGAUAAUACUGACGCUCAUGCACGAAAGCGUGGGUAGCAAAC
rnacentral:rRNA from 1 species